CGCUAAAGCCAACUUCGGUUAGAAACUUCUUUUGCAGGUCCUGCUGCCACUGCCCCACCAUUCCCGACUUGUAAUCACUCCAGCCAUCUCGACCUCGAGACGAAUUUCUGCAUCAAUAGGAUGAUUAAAUGUUGAGGAAAACAAUAGCAGGCUAUUCAAUACUCCAUGGAUGAAAAUACAAAGCCGACACAGAAUAAAUGGAAUAAGGUUGCUUUUUAUAUAAUUCUUACUAUUGAAGAUAUUUUGUUUCUAAAUGUGCCGAUGACAGAGCCACCACCUCCUUUCCACUCCAAAUGAGAACCCUUGCUUAACUUUUUCAGGUAACAUAUGUACAAUUCCUAAAUGACAACUAUAACAAUGUAUUUUUAGAAUUAAUCAAGGCUUUAAUUAUUCUACCACUUGCAAAUGCCUUAUCUAGCUUUACAGACAUUUAGGCAGAAAAAUAGCCAGUAGGAGUGUAUAUAUCAUAAGAUGGGAUGCAGGAAUUUCGACUACUCGAGGUCCCAAUAUCACUAAAUUUUCACUGUGGUGUACUGGAUAUCUAGUAUCAGUAUAUUGAUAUGGGAUACUACAUCAGUAUUAUGCUUAGCGAUCAUGCUUCAAUCAGUUCGCUAUUUCAGGGAAUCUGGAACAUAAAACAAUGCUGUGUUUGACAUUCACUUUGUUGUGCAUCUUGCAUACAAUGCCAUCAUUGAUAUAAGUGUUUCUAGAAAUCUAUACACCAUUUGCCACAAACUGAUUCCUGCUGUGUGCACUUUGCAGGUCCUCAGCAUAGGACCACCAUGGAAACCGCCGAAUACAUGCUAAGCAAUGCAUGUUGAUGACAUGCACAAAGAUGUAGCAUUUUGCAUCAUUAUUCAAUUCAGACUCUCUAGCAUUCUUCAUCAUCUAACUGUGAUUCAUGAAUGAACAGCAUGCCAAAUUCAGGGCAUUCACUUGAUUCUCAACAGUUCAUUAAUAAAUAGUUGCUUCCAAAAAAACUACCAUUACUAUGCAAUAUAGUUAAUUCAUCUAGAUACUUGAACAUGGUUGCCUCAACAUUUGCUCCUAAAUGGUAAUUCAUGGUUGAAGUUUCUGCUGUUCUUUUCCCUUCACCACAACAACUCCUAACACUUACGAACACCAAGCAUCAACACAAGGUUUGAGAGGCAAUUCAAAGAUCACAAAGUAUCAAAGAACUCCUCAGCACACAAAAAAAGUAUCAAUUAGCAUGUAUCUUAACUAUAGGGUUGACAUUGCCCCAAUAUGUCUCCUUUUGUGUGUGUUCAAGUGGAUUUCCAUAAACCCUCACUGGUAUUCGCUAAGCCCAGCAAAUUUCCCAUCACAUUUGUCUUGUAAUCGUAGUUAAGAAUUCAAACUUCAACUACAUCAAGCAUCCCAUAAUUUGCAAUGACAAAGGACAGAUCGAGGAACAAUUAUAAAUUAAACUCGUCUCAUAAAGAAACAAAACCGGAAUUAUAAAUCAAAAUAGUCUCCAAAAAGAACAAGAAGAAGAACCGGCGAAACAGGGAGCACGAAAGGCACGACGAAGUGGUGGCGAUCAGCUCGAACCUAGGACUCUGGAGGUUCUCCUUCCGCCCCGUGAAGAAUAAACGAUGACGUUGACGCUGUCCCCACGAACCCCGCCCCGACCGUCACCACGAUCUCCAUUCCGUUGGCGGAAGAGGAGGAGAAGUAGGGGGUGGGGGAGGAAGGAGGAGGAGGAUUAUGCUGUUUCGCUGAUGGAUUUUGUUCGGCUAUUCACUUGGGUGGAAUUGAGGGAAUGUCUGGUUCGCGACCGAAAUCGAAACAGGAAUCAGAAUUGAUU
rnacentral:lncRNA from 1 species